rnacentral:misc_RNA from 1 species
CAAAAGCCAAUCAAGGGGUCACCAUACCCACGGGGAUAUUACAAGUGUAGUACUUUUAGAGGGUGCCCUGCCAGGAAGCACGUAGAACGGGCCAACGACGAUCCGACGAUGCUGAUUGUGACAUAUGAGGGGGAGCACCGCCACGCUCAACCUGCGAUGCAGGAUAACUUGAGCGGUGGUGUAGGGCUAGUGUUCGAGUCAACGUGAAAGAGAGAAACGUAGAGGACGGAGUAAUAAACAAAUAGUAUAGAAAAAGACGAGUUAGACUUGGAGUAAUAUCGAGGUGGGUGGGAUUGGAUUGUAUAUUUUCUGUAUCGGAAGCCAAAGCCAUGUUCAAAGUUAAUUAAAAAAAUUUUAAUUAACUUUGAACAUGGCUUUGGGUUUCGGUACAGAAAAAAUACAAAUC